rfam:Gossypium arboreum cultivar AKA8401 contig_33656_3, whole genome shotgun sequence.
GGGGAUGUAGCUCAAAUGGUAGAGCGCUAGCUUUGCAUGAGAGAGGUAUAGGGUUCGAUCCCCCGCAUCUCCA